rnacentral:rRNA from 1 species
GACGAACGCUGGCGGCGUGCUUAACACAUGCAAGUCGAACGGAAAGGCCCUGCUUUUGUGGGGUGCUCGAGUGGCGAACGGGUGAGUAACACGUGAGUAACCUGCCCUUGACUUUGUGAUAACUUCAGGAAACUGGGGCUAAUACCGGAUAGGAGCUCCUGCUGCAUGGUGGGGGUUGGACAGUUUCGGCGGUUGGGGAUGGACUCGCGGCUUAUCAGCUUGUUGGUGGGGUAGUGGCUUACCAAGGCUUUGACGGGUAGCCGGCCUGAGAGGGUGACCGGCCACAUUGGGACUGAGAUACGGCCCAGACUCCUACGGGAGGCAGCAGUGGGGAAUAUUGCACAAUGGGCGGAAGCCUGAUGCAGCAACGCCGCGGGCGGGAUGACGGCCUUCGGGUUGUAAACCGCUUUCGCCUGUGACGAAGCGUAAGUGACGGUAAUGGGUAAAGAAGCACCGGCUAACUACGUG